GUGUCGCGCGUGCUUACAGCCGCUACCGCAAGAAGAAGAGGCAGGCAGGCAGUUAGCCUGAGCGAUCAGUCAGCUAGCCACUUCGCACGGGUAGCUAGGCUAUGGCUAUCACUCACACGUACACCUACUUAAUUGUACUGUCGUGCGCGCACGGGCUGGGCGGCUGUGGGUGGCGACGCCUCCCCGGCCGGGGGGGCCUAUUUAUAGGCGCGGCGCCGGCGGCAGGGUUGGUCCCGCGCCCACAGUAUCUGAGUAGUAGUAGUAUCACAGGAAAAUCGGCUCCGUCUCUCUAGCUGCAAAUCCUGUGUGCGGAAAAGGGAGAGGGGAAGAACCUCCUGACGACGCUCGAGCAACUAGGGCCAGGAGAUUGUUACUCUCGCCAAAAGUGCGUCUCUUCCCCACGGGAUCGAAAUAUCCCCUGUUCGCUUUGAUUUGAUCUACAGAUCUUUGCUCCUAGCUUUAUUCGUCCGAUUCAUCGAUCGGCUGUCGUCUCUGCCAUUGGCGUGCAUACGCGUACAGUUGGGGAUCGAGCAGCCAGCUGCUGGACGAGGAUGGAUCGGAGGAUGCAUGCAUGGAUCGAGCAGCGGGGCCGGGUGUCCAAAUCGCGCGCCUGUGAGCGGCUCACGGGAUGCGCAUCGCCGGCGGGGGCGUUGUGCCAUGACAGAGCUCCAGGGCCUAACCUCAUCUCCUGCCGCAGGACGGUGAUGAGGUGAGGUGAGCAACGUGUAGCUGUAGCGAGCGACCAGGAAGGAGGAGAGGACGUACUCGAGGCGAAAACAACGGAACGCGAGUACGCGACCGCCUUGCGUGCUGGGCGCUGCCGACUUGCCUCGGCGUCAGGACAUGCGUGUCCUGUCCUGGAUCGCAAAGGUGGGCGGCCCUUGUCAUGUGACGUUACAUUUACCGGUGGCCGCUCCGUGCAGACAGAGGCAGGCGUCGAAGCACGUCGUGUCACUUGGAGCCAUCGAGGAAGAGGUACUGAGGUAGUACGCACCGAAAAUGGGCCCAAACGAGAAGGGUCGAUCCAACAGCGCCGGACCAACAUCGAAGUGGCUAGAAUUGGAUCCAAUGCUCUGGCCGGCCUGCGACGACGACCAUAUCCAAAGUUCCAAAAACCCCGCACGCUGCUACAAGCACAGAAUGCCAGACCAUUGCGAGAUUCCGAUGAUCACGUGCGCCUUUUUCACCCUGCUGUUAUCCCGAUGAGCACUAGCUACCACUUACUUUUGACCCGUCCUAGGGGCAUGAGCAUCAGCCACCUCCGCCACCGCAACCGCAACCUCGUGCAGCUGCUGCUAGGCUACUGCAGAAGGAAGGGCGAGCUGCUGAUGGUCUACUACUGCAUGCCCAACGGUAGCCUCGACAAGCACCGCCUGCACGCCGAGGACGGCAAGGCGCUGCUGGAGUGAGCGCAGAGGUUUCAGAUCAUCAAGGAUGUGGCCUCCGACCUCUUCUACCUCCACAUGAAGUGGGGGCAGGUGGUCGUCCAUCAACCGAUCAACGUGGGCGGUAUGGUCGCACACCUAGGUGACUUUGGCCUCGCCAGGCUUUUAUAGUUGGCCAAAUGGCACUAACAUGACGGGCCGGGCCGGGCACGGCACUAAAAAGCACGGCACUGGCACGGCACGACACGGUCCUCUUAGUGCCAGUGCCGGGCACGGCCCGUACAUAGUGCCGUGCCUGGGCCACCACUUGGGCCCGUAUGGUCGGCCCAGGCACGGCACGGCUAACUGGGCCGGCACGGCGUCGGCACGGCCCACCCGAGCGAGUCGCGUGUAAACCCUAAGGCCUAACCCGCCCCAGCCGCGGCCGCGGGCGUCACUCCUCACUCACUCUCGCUCUCGCUCAAACCCUAACUCGCUCUCGCUCACUGACUCACUCGCUCUCUCUCAGCCGCGGGCAAUUCGGCGGCGACCGGCGAGCUCUCCUCUCCCUCGUUCCCUCCGCCUCCGCUAAGCGCUCCGGUCUCCAUCUCCGCCUCCGGUCUGCGGUCUCCGGCUCUCCGCCUCGGCGCCUCCGCUCGGAUCGAUCGUCGCUCGUCACCGUCGGAGAUCCUCUCCGGCUCUCCCUCGCUCGGAUCUGCGCAUUUGUGAACCGGGUAACUCAGAUCCAUAACCCCCGCUCGGAUCUGCUGUCUUCUUCUCCUCCUCCGGUGUGAUCUGCGGAGAUCCUGGUGCUCCGGCUUAUUAGGGUUUACAGUUUACACGCGCAUUUUAGAACCGGCGCGAUCUGCGCUUGUGCGGAGAUCCCGGUGCUCCGUUCUCCCUCUCCUCUCUACUCUCUCCUGUCUUCUUCUCCCCCUCCGGCCUCCGGUGUGAUCUGCGCUUCUGCGGAGAUCCCGGUGCUCCGGCUUACUCCGUUGAGGAACCGGGACUGGGGACUCCGGGGUCCGGUACGACGGCACUGGCACUGGUACUCUCCUCUCUUCUAGCUCCAGUCUCCCUCUCCUAUCUUCUUCUCCCCCUCCGGCCUCCGGUGUGAUCUGCGCUUCUGCGGAGAUCCCGGUGCUGCAAGCUCUUCAGCUUCUACUGCUUCUGAACUCAUUUCUUACUUAGAUUGUGAUCUGCGCUACUGCAUGCUGCAAGCUCUUCAGCUUCUACUGCUUCUGAACUCAUUUCUUACUUAGAUUGUGACACUGUCAACCAGUUAACUGAUGAUUUCAACAUCUUGCACUGGUGGCAUCAGCACAAACUCACUUAUCCAGUACUGUCAAUUAUGGCUAAAGAUAUUUUAACUGUUCCUGUGUCUACCAUCUCUUCAGAAUCCACUUUUAGUUUAACUGGCAGGAUCAUCGACGAGCGGAGGAGGAGAUUGAAGUCUGAUGUGGUUGAGAUGUUGACAUGCAUUAAAGAUUGGGAGGAUGCUGAAGCAAGGAUGCAACACAUGGUGGAUGACAAAGAGCUUGAAGAAACAUUUGAAAAUCUUUAUCUUGAUUAGUCUUACUCUCUUUGUGACCAUUUCUGUAAUGGGACUGUAAUAUUAUGCACCUGGACACUGGACUGGACUGGACUGUAAACAUUUGAAAAACAUUUUAAUGAGCUGGGCUGUACUCUUUUUUCCUGUCUAGGGUUUCUCACAAGGGUGAGUUUUACCUAGACAGGUUUUUAACGAGGCAGCCAUUGCACUACAGCUCAUAAAAUUGUUGUUUGAUUAGUCUCUUACUCUCUU